GUAACAAGGAAAAUGAAGUCAGAGACAGCCAGGUUGAUGAUAAAUAUGUCAAUCAGUCUUUGGCUUCCCCGUUUAAAAUCCAAAGUCAAUAAUCUUGGAACUAAAAAAGAUGGAAUAAAAGUCAUUAAUAGAGAAUGGACACCUAAAACUAAGAACAAAGGCCUGCUUCUGAGAUGGGAGACCUGACAUGUGCAUGGAUAUUCUGAGUUAUCCUCCCAUGUGGGUCCAAGGAGCAGAGUCCAGGAGCUUGAGCCAAGGGGACCUUGGAGCCCAGGAUUCCAUAAUGGAGGUUGCAAUCAGCCCAGCAGAGAAAGGAUCUACCAGCCUGGGGUGAGGUGAAGAGGGUGGGGCUGGCUUUGGAUGUGAACUUUGGUUCCUAUCUAUGUAGGAACAGUUAAGUUCCUGAACCUAAUUCCUUUCCUCUCACUUUCCCAGAAUCCCUGGAAGUGGUUUAGGGGGGAGCAUUAUGCCCCCCAGGUGUUAGGGGGAAAUGUGAGUAUGUCUGUUCAGGGCUUAGCACGGUACCUGGCACAUAGU